CUUUCUACACUCGUUGCCUUCAAGACCUACCCCGUGUCACUAUCAACGAUGUACACCGUCUUAUUAAGGCCUACUCAACCACGGCAUUAAGCAAAAAAGAAAAAGGAUUUAAGCUGUACAUAACCAGCUAUAUUCAUGACUAUGAAGUUUCUGACAAGAACGAGUCAGGAGAGGUGUCUGUGAGGGCAAGCUGCUUCAGGUCAAUGAGGAAAAGCGAGAGACCACACAAUUUAAGUAUUGUUCUCAAAGACUCUAAGCCUGUUGAACUGCUGG